CCCAGGGAGCGCAAGAGAGGCACAGUGCCGCCAGCUGCUUGCUACGGUGCCCUCUCUGCUCCUAAGGGGCUAGUGGAUACCCCGUGUGUGGGCAGGCUAGCUUCACUUCUUAGUUCAGAAAACUGUCUGCAGAACCAGGUGCCCAAGGCCUACCUGACAGCCGGCAGUGGUCAGUUCCACUGCCUCCCCACCCACCCGUGAAGCCCGAGUUUCUGCCACUCACCCUAAUUCACAAGCUACCGCGCUUACCAACAUUCAUGAAGGACUAUGCCGUGUGGACGCUGAAGCCAGCUGGGACUCUCCUCCCUUUGGAACUUGGCCUUGCUUCGUCUCCCCGCCCUCUCCAAGAGCCCUGUUAAAAUGUACAAGAGAUGUAGUUCUUGUUAACGUUGCCCAGGCUGGAGCGCAGUGGCUACUCAGAGGCAUGAUCAUACCGCACUAUAGCCUGGAACUCCUGGGCUCAAGCAAUCCUCCUGCUUCCGCCUCACAGGUGUGCA
rnacentral:lncRNA from 1 species